rnacentral:lncRNA from 1 species
CGCCGCUCGGGCCCGCGGACGAGAAGGAUGCCCCGGCCGGCGCGGCGGCGGAUGAGGGGGAUCCGCGGAGGGGAUUUCUCUCUGAGGCUCUGUCUGCAGAACCAAGCAUAUAUCUGGGUCUCCAAGACACAAAAGUUUGAAGAAGAUGCACUUCAUCAAGAAUAUGAGGCAGUAUGACACCAAGAACAGCAGGAUAGUGUUAAUCUGUGCUAAACGAACACUGUGUGUGGCGUUUUCUAUCCUACCUUACGGGGAGGGCUUGCGGAUCAGGUGAGUCUCUUCAACUGCCCUGUGAAAUGUCUGCUCUGUUGUUUCAGGAGAUCUCCUGAAAUGAGUGUGCCUGGUGUAGAUCUCUUGUUCUGAAGCAAGCGAGCCUGUUUAACCUGCCAUUCAUGUGUAAGGACAAGAGCUUGCUGUCAGAGCAGUAAAACCAGACACUGCCACAGUGUCAAAGUGUUCAUUCAAACCCCACGAGAAAAAUACUGGAAAAAGCAGACUUUUCUUCCAGGGUUUAUUCACAUUUUGGAACACUC